UACUAUUUAGGCUUAGUCUAGACGCUAGAUAGAUGUACUCUAUUUGCUAGUUACGCACACACUCAAGCAAAGGUAUAUGUAUGUGUUUCACUGUGUGUGUGUGUGUGUGUGUGU